UUACUUACUUGGAUGGAGUCAAUAGAUAAUUAAGAAAGGCCAUGGCCUAGGUUGAUGACUUCCAUUGCAAUUAGGAGAGAUGUAUGUCUAAGGUCUCCUCAAGUAGAAGAGCCUACAUCAUAAUUUGUGGCAAUGGGAACCUAAAUUCAUGCCAAUCCUAA
rfam:Cajanus cajan CcLG07_119, whole genome shotgun sequence.